rnacentral:misc_RNA from 1 species
GAUGAAGAACGUAGUGAAAUGCGAUAAGUAGUGUGAAUUGCAGAAUUCAGUGAAUCAUCGAAUCUUUGAACGCACAUUGCGCCCCUUGGUAUUCCAUGGGGCAUGCCUGUUCGAGCGUCAUUUGUACCUUCAAGCUUUGCUUGGUGUUGGGUGUUUGUCCCGAGGGACUCGCCUUAAAGUAAUUGGCAGCCAGUGUUUGGUUUUGAAGCGCAGCACAAGUCGCGAUUCAAGGCUACACGCCCGCUUCCACAAGCCUUUUUUCACUUUUGACCUCGGAUCAGGUAGGGAUACCCGCUGAACUUAAGCAUAUCAAUAAGCGGAGG